rnacentral:rRNA from 1 species
AGAGUGAACGCUGGCGGUAGGCCUAACACAUGCAAGUCGAACGGCAGCACGGUAAGAGCUUGCUCUUAUGGGUGGCGAGUGGCGGACGGGUGAGGAAUACAUCGGAAUCUACCUUUUGGUGGGGGAUAACGUAGGGAAACUUACGCUAAUACCGCAUACGCCCUUCGGGGGAAAGCCGGGGACCAGCAAUGGCCUGGUGCUGAUAGAUGAGCCGAUGUCGGAUUAGCUAGUUGGUGAGGUAAUGGCUCACCAAGGCGACGAUCCGUAGCUGGUCUGAGAGGAUGAUCAGCCACACUGGAGCUGAGACACGGUCCAGACUCCUACGGGAGCAGCAGGUGGGAAUGUGGACAAUGGGCGCAAGCCUGAUCCAGCCAUACCGCGUGGUGAAGAAGGCCGUUCGGUUGUAAAGCCCGUUUUAGGUACGGGAAAAGUAAAGCUAAGUUACGGUUAACGUAACCCGGGUGUUACUGGAACCGGUAACCAAAGAAUAAGCAACCGGCUAACUCGU